rnacentral:rRNA from 1 species
GAGGAAUCUUGCGCAAUGGGGGAAACCCUGACGCAGCCACGCCGCGUGGGUGAAGAAGGCCUUCGGGUCGUAAAGCCCUGUCAGGUGGGAAGAACCGCGAGGGAAUGAAUAACUCCUUUGCCUGACGGUACCACCAAAGGAAGCACCGGCUAACUCCGUGCCAGCAGCCGCGGUAAUACGGAGGGUGCAAGCGUUGUUCGGAAUUACUGGGCGUAAAGCGCGUGUAGGCGGCUAGGUAAGUCGAAUGUGAAAGCCCUCGGCUCAACUGAGGAAGUGCAUCCGAUACUGCUUGGCUUGAGUCCCGGAGAGGGAUGUGGAAUUCCCGGUGUAGAGGUGAAAUUCGUAGAUAUCGGGAGGAACAUCAGUGGCGAAGGCGACAUCCUGGACGGUGACUGACGCUGAGACGCGAAAGCGUGGGUAGCAAAC